rnacentral:rRNA from 1 species
UGAGGAAUAUUGGUCAAUGGGCGAGAGCCUGAACCAGCCAAGUCGCGUGAGGGAAGACGGUCCUAUGGAUUGUAAACCUCUUUUGCCGGGGAGCAAAGAGCGGCACGUGUGCCGCGCCGAGAGUACCCGGAGAAAAAGCAUCGGCUAACUCCGUGCCAGCAGCCGCGGUAAUACGGAGGAUGCGAGCGUUAUCCGGAUUUAUUGGGUUUAAAGGGUGCGCAGGCGGCGCGUUAAGUCAGCGGUAAAAUUUCGGGGGCUCAACCCGACGAGCCGUUGAAACUGGCGUGCUAGAGUGGGCGAGAAGUAUGCGGAAUGCGUGGUGUAGCGGUGAAAUGCGUAGAUAUUAGGAGGAACACCAGUGGCGAAGGCGGCUUACUGGACGGUAACUGACGUUGAGGCUCGAAAGCGUGGGGAGCAAACAGGAUUAGAUACC